UAAUACGUAGGUCCCGAGCGUUGUCCGGAUUUAUUGGGCGUAAAGCGAGCGCAGGCGGUUCUUUAAGUCUGAAGUUAAAGGCAGUGGCUUAACCAUUGUACGCUUUGGAAACUGGAGGACUUGAGUGCAGAAGGGGAGAGUGGAAUUCCAUGUGUAGCGGUGAAAUGCGUAGAUAUAUGGAGGAACACCGGUGGCGAAAGCGGCUCUCUGGUCUGUAACUGACGCUGAGGCUCGAAAGCGUGGGGAGCAAACAGGAUUAGAUACCCUGGUAGUCCACGCCGUAAACGAUGAGUGCUAGGUGUUAGGCCCUUUCCGGGGCUUAGUGCCGCAGCUAACGCAUUAAGCACUCCGCCUGGGGAGUACGACCGCAAGGUUG
rnacentral:rRNA from 1 species